rnacentral:rRNA from 1 species
ACUCGCAAGAGCCUCGCGCGAUUGGAGCGGCCGAUAUCAGAUUAGGUAGUUGGUGGGGUAAAGGCUCACCAAGCCAACGAUCUGUAGCUGGUCUGAGAGGACGACCAGCCACACUGGAACUGAGACAUGGUCCAGACUCCUACGGGAGGCAGCAGUGGGGAAUUUUGGACAAUGGACGCAAGUCUGAUCCAGCCAUUCCGCGUGCAGGAUGAAGGCCCUCGGGUUGUAAACUGCUUUUGUACGGAACGAAAAGGUUUGUCUUAAUACGAUGAGCUCAUGACGGUACCGUAAGAAUAAGCACCGGCUAACUACGUG